CCUACGGGUGGCAGCAGUGAGGAAUAUUGGUCAAUGGACGAGAGUCUGAACCAGCCAAGUAGCGUGAAGGAUGACUGCCCUAUGGGUUGUAAACUUCUUUUAUAAAGGAAUAAAGUGAGGCACGUGUGCCUUUUUGCAUGUACUUUAUGAAUAAGGAUCGGCUACCUCCGUGCCAGAAGCCGCGGUAAUCCGGAGGAUCCGAGCGUUAUCCGGAUUUAUUGGGUUUAACGGGAUCGUAGGUGGGUUGGUAAGUCAGUUGUGAAAGUUUGCGGCACAACCGUAAAAUUGCAAUUGAUACUGGCAGUCGUGAGUACAGUUGAGGUAGGCGGAAUUCGUGGUGUAGCGGUGAAAUGCUGAGAUAUCACGAAGAACCCCGAUUGCGAAGGCAGCUUGCUAAACUGUGACUGACAUUGAUGCUCGAAAGUGUGGGUAUCAAACAGGAUUAGAUACCCUAGUAGUC
rnacentral:rRNA from 1 species